rnacentral:lncRNA from 1 species
UUUCAGAUUUUACCAUGGAAGAUUUAGGUCAGGUAUUAUUUCCUGACAACAAGAGUUGUUAAAUCAAUACCUACAUACAUUACCAAGAGAAUUAUCUUUUCCAAAGGUCUUUAAAAAUGUAGUACAUUUUUUUUUCUCUGUAAUUGUUUAGGAAGCAGUGCUUCCUGAAAGACCAAACCAAGAUUUUUGCAUUAUGUGGCUUUGCACACUAGAUGAGUAUUUAAUAAGUUCAAGCUUAAUUUAAAACCAUGAUGACACAGGUGUGAAUGUCAUUUCUCUGAGGAGUUAAAAAUACAGGCAUUGUCAUACUAUCAUACACUCUGGAAAAUGGUAUUACAUAUCAUAAAAUGUUAUGGCUUGGGUAGAAAUUGUAGUUUGCUUUUUUAAAAGCUUUAGUUAAAUUUUGCUCAUUUGUUUUGCAAAUGAUUCUUUUUAAUUGAGUGAAUCAGAUGCUUUUCAGUUCAUUGAAAAUCCCCCUUUGACAAAUCAUGUUUUGAUGAGCUUACGUUCUGUUUCUGGGUUCAGCUUCUCAUUUUAGUUGUCAUACAAAGCGUUGGCUUAUAUUAUGGUUAAGUAUGUGCUUUAUUGGAGGUUUUGCAUUACCUUAUGAGAAAUUAUAGAGUGUUUGUGGGAGAGGCGUUAUGAUUUGUUUUAAUUUUUUUCAGGAUAUAAUCUAACUACCACUAGGGAUAAUGUGUAGUGGUACAUAAUUAUAUACAUUAUGUUAUAUGUAUGCUAUCCUGUGAGGCAUCCAUCAUUGGUCACUGUCAAAGACAGGCUGUUAGAGUAGAUGGGCUAUUGGACUGGACUGGUGGUGGCAUGCCCAUGUUUUAAAAACAAAUAUUUGUACAAGUUAUUUGAAUUUAUGCAAGAAAUUAAUACAGUGUUAUGUUGGAGAUUUAAUAGCAUAAAAGACAAGAGGUUUUUUUUUUUCUUUUUUCUUUUUUUACUUUUGGCAUAGCUAUAACCCCUUUGUAUGUAUUUAUAAUACACUCUUUCAGUAUGAGAUUAUAUAUUAGUGUAUGCAGUCACACAGAAUGUUAUAUAUGUAAGAUAAAGAGAUUAUAGAUAAAUAUUUUCCUGAAUAUUAUUUACUACAUAAUCUGUCACUGGCCCAAUUUCAUGUGAUCAUGUAAUGAAAGAUCCUUCUGCAGUUAAGCCUAUUAGGGCUUUAACCCUAAGUCUCCUGAAUAUAUUUUAAUUUCUAUUUCCAAAUUAAUGUUAUAUUGGUAUGGUAUAAUAGUAUGUACUUAUUUUCUUUUGGGAGGGAUAUAAUUAUAUUAAAAGGCAAUACAAUUAACAAAGAUUUUUCACACUGGUUAAAGGCAAAGCAAGAGAUGUGAUGGAAAGACAUGUGAAGCUGGGUUAUUAUACUCAUUACAUAAACAUAGUGAUCUUCUUCCUAAAUGUGGUUUUAAAAUUUAUCCUUGUGUCCCUUUCUUUACAACUUAGAUAGAAUGCAUAUGUUGAAAAGAAAUGUGUAGGCUGUGGAAAUACUGGUAGCAGUAGCCAGCUUUUAGUUAAAGUUAGUAGAAGGAGGGAGAGAAAAAGAGAGGGUGAAUACACAUUUCCGUACAAGUUACAGGAUUAUUUGCUUUUUAUUAAAAUAUAUUAAACCUUCAGAAAUUUGGGCUGAGGAUAGAGGAUAUUCUGAUUAUGGACUUAUUUUUAUUAAAAGUUAAAUUUUAUGGUUAACUAUCCAGAGUAACUAGAGUAGGUUAAUGAAAUGGCAAAUAGAGGAAGAGAUUUCUUUUAAUGAAAUGAAAGAAUGGCAACUAGUACGUUAACUAUUUCAGUAUAUAAUUCUUAAAAAUGUACAGUUAUUAAAAUGAAUUAUUCCGUGUUCUAUUUUUAAAGGCUAUCAGAUGCUAAUUAGUGUUAUUUUGUUUUACUAUUUAAGUAUUAAAUGAAAUAAUGAGGUCAUAGAGCUUUGGAUUUAGACAGACUGCUUACAAGCCCAAUUUCUUCAUUCAAGAGCAGUGUGACAUCAUACAAGUUACUUUACGUUUUUAUGCCUCAGUUUCCUGCAUCUGGAAAUCAGGGUAAUAGUUUAUGUUGGAUAAAGCUGAUUUAAAGAUUAAAUGAGAUAUUGUGUG